rnacentral:rRNA from 1 species
GAGUGGCGCACGGGUGAGUAACGCGUGGGCAUCUGCCUCAUGGUUCGGAAUAACCCCGGGAAACUGGGGCUAAUACCGGAUGGUACCGGGUUAAAGAUUUAUCGCCAUGAGAUGAGCCCGCGUCCGAUUAGCUAGUUGGUGAGGUAACGGCUCACCAAGGCGACGAUCGGUAGCUGGUCUGAGAGGACGAUCAGCCACACUGGGACUGAGACACGGCCCAGACUCCUACGGGAGGCAGCAGUGGGGAAUAUUGGACAAUGGGCGCAAGCCUGAUCCAGCCAUGCCGCGUGAGUGAUGAAGGCCCUAGGGUUGUAAAGCUCUUUUAGCGGGGACGAUGAUGACGGUACCCGCAGAAUAAGCCCCGGCUAACUUCGUGCCAGCAGCCGCGGUAAGACGAAGGGGGCUAGCGUUGCUCGGAAUUACUGGGCGUAAAGCGCGUGUAGGCGGCUGUUCUAGUUGGGCGUGAAAGCCUUGGGCUUAACCCAAGAAAUGCGCUCAAUACUGGAUAGCUAGAGGACCGGAGAGGAUAGUGGAAUUCCCAGUGUAGUGGUGAAAUACGUAGAGAUUGGGAAGAACACCAGUGGCGAAGGCGGCUAUCUGGACGGUUUC